GCCUGCAUGAAGCUGGAAUUGCUAGUAAUCGCGGAUCAGCAUGCCGCGGUGAAUACGUUCCCGGGCCUUGUACACACCGCCCGUCACACCAUGAGAGUCGGGAACACCCGAAGUCCGUAGUCUAACCGCAAGGAGGGCGCGGCCGAAGGUGGGUCCGGUAAUUGGGGUGAAGUCGUAACAAGGUAUC
rnacentral:rRNA from 1 species